CCUGCAAAGAAGAUCAGAGAUGCCUUUUACAAGGUACAGAGAAAAAGCAGAACUGACUGGAAGCCAAGGUGAUGAGAGAGUCGUGGGUUGCCAUCAGAGCGCACAUACAUCAGACAGACCUGGCGAACACAAAAGUCACUUUUGCCAGGUGAUUUGUGGACUGACUCUGUGAUUUACCAACUCUCCACUAGAUGCUACACCAAGACCAGCAAACCUUUAAUGAAAUCCAAUCAAGUUUAAGUGUUUGGAAAUCUGGAAUGGAGCCACCACUGAAAGCAAACACUGGUUGUUACCUACAUGGUGUCUCUACCUUUAGACUAUAGUCAAGAUUGCACAAGCCUGAACAGCUACUACUAUAAAGGAGUUUGGAGCAUGGAAGCUGCUAUUUCAAAAGGAGGAGAUGCAGUCCUACAAUCAAAAUUACUUUAGUAAGAGUCUAUAGGAGAAAACUGGAUCUUCAAUGAAGUGGAUGAAUUCUAAGCAUUGCUCCAGAAAAAGCUAAAGAUUAGAAACUUUGAAAUGCAAACCACAAGAGUCUAGAGAAGCCAAAAAAAAAAAAAAAGGAAAAUACAGCUGAGCAAUCAG